CUUUGUUUCAUAGGUUUGUCGGAAGAAUAAACAUUUACAAUGAAACGGAUGAGACAAUAGCAAGGCCUUUGGGGUCAGAGAACCUGCUCCUUCGAGGAGCCACCCUAAAGAAUACAGAGAGAGUGUUUGGUGUCGCUAUCUACACUGGAAUGGAAACAAAGAUGGCUUUAAAUUACC